AACCCAAAGGACUUGACGGUACCCCAUAUCCCCCUAGAGGAGCCUGUCCCAUAAUCGAUAAUCCCCGCUUAACCUCACCACAUCUAGCUUAUCAGCCUGUAUACUUCCGUCGCAAGCCUACCACAUGAGCGAAGCUUAGUUAGCCCAAUGUCCACACAUAGUGUAUUACAUCGACAAUACGUCAGGUCAAAGUGCAGCAAACGCUGUGGGAUGAGAUUGGCUACACUUUUUAACUUAAAAGAAACGGAAAACAUAAUGAAACUUUGUUAGAAGGUGGAUUUAGCAGUAAAAGAGAAAUAUAAAAUUUCUUUUAACUCGGCACUGGGGUGUGUACACACCGCCCGUCACCCUCUUCGAAAAAUCUUAAAUUUAGUACUUAACCCACCAUCAAAAUAAAGAAGAGGCAAGUCGUAACAUGGUAAGCGCACCGGAAGGUGUGCUUGGAAACAAAACAUAGCUUAACCAAAGCCCCUUGCUUACACCAAGAAAAUGUCUACUCACCCAGACUGUUUUGAA
rnacentral:rRNA from 1 species